rnacentral:rRNA from 1 species
CCUACGGGUGGCAGCAGUGAGGAAUAUUGGUCAAUGGCCGCAGGGCUGAACCAGCCAAGUCGCGUGAAGGAUGACGGUCCUAUGGAUUGUAAACCUCUUUUGUAAGGGAGUAAAGCGCCCCACGUGUGGCGCUUUGCGUGUACCUGAAGAAAAAGCAUCGGCUAACUCCGUGCCAGCAGCCGCGGUAAUACGGAGGAUGCGAGCGUUAUCCGGAUUUAUUGGGUUUAAAGGGUGCGCAGGCGGAAUGUCAAGUCUGCGGUAAAAUUUCGGGGCUCAACCCCGUCGUGCCGUGGAAACUGGCGUUCUUGAGUGAGCGAGAAGUAUGCGGAAUGCGUGGUGUAGCGGUGAAAUGCAUAGAUAUGACGAAGAACCCCGAUUGCGAAGGCAGCAUACCGGCGCUCAACUGACGCUCAUGCUCGAAAGCGUGGGUAUCGAACAGGAUUAGAUACCCUUGUAGUC